GUCCUUGUCGAUUAGUGGUUAGAUCAUCACGUUGUGGUUACCGCAAAUCCGUGAAGACGGAGGCUCGAAUCCUCCCUGGGACA
rnacentral:tRNA from 1 species